rnacentral:lncRNA from 1 species
CUAUUUAUAAAAAUAUUUAAAAAAUUGAGAUAUGAAUAAUCAAAAGAUUUAAAUGAAUAGAAUUAACUAAUUCAAAGAGCGAAAAAAGAAAUAAAAUAAUAUAGGCCUAAAUGCUCAAGCGCACAUUGUUCCUGAUUGUUCCUGUCAAUCAGACACGCAGUGUCAACCAAUGAACCAAAGGUGCGUGAGGGAGGGCCGAGCCAACUCACAGUCACACACUUAGCAGCCGAGGAGAGAGAGAGGAAGGAAAGCUGUGAAAACAACAGCUGGAAAAUGAGUUAGAAGCACAGUAGCAUUUGGAUGCAUUUUAAUAAUGUAGACAAUGUUAGAGCACAGUGUAGAAUUUGCCAAAACAAAAUCUCAUAUAAAGCCGGUUCUCCGCAAAACCUACACCGGCAUAUGCGAACUGUGCACCCAACUGUGAAGCUAGCUGUAGCGGAGCUUCGAGAAACUAGCGAGCCUGCUAGUGAUAGUGGUGGAGCCAGCAACUCCACACAUGGAGAUGUAUCCACUCAGUCAAGUAGGCCUACUCCGUUACCCACAGCAACGAAGUCUUCUAUGGACCAGUUUAUGCCAAAGUCUAUGUCUGUAGAAAAACAAGGCCAAAUUGAUAUUGCAUUGGCUAAAAUGAUUGCCACCGAUUUCCAACCAUUUUCGAUCGUGGAGGACAGAGGUUUUAGAAAUUAUAUCAAUAGUCUAAAUCCAAUGUACACAAUUCCAAGCAGGAAAACCCUUUCAAAAUCACUUAUUUCACAACUGUACGAGAGCACACAGGCUUCAGUGUGGGAAAGAGUCCAAAAAGCUACUGCAGUUUGUCUUACCACUGACUGCUGGACAUCAAGGGUAACCACUUCUUACAUGUCGGUUACAUGUCACUUCAUUGAAGAUUUUUUGAUGUCUAACUGUCUUCUGGACUGCUUUGAGUUCAGCAACAGACACACCUCAGAGAACUUGGCAGAGAAUGGCAAGUAGAUGGAAAAAGUGGUCUGUUGUGUUAGCGACAAUGCAGCUAACAUAACCAAAGCCAUGAAACAUUUUAAAAUGGACCCAUCAUCCAUGUCUUGCCCACACAAUCAACCUGAUUGUAAGAUAUGCUCUGAAGGUGAUGAAGCCCACUGUGGACGAAGUGAAAGCAGCUGUGGAAUACCUCCACAGGAGCACAGUAGGUGCUGAGAAACAUAAGUCUACACAACGCCAGAUGGGGACGCCUGAGCUGAGGCCUAAACACGACUGCACUUCAAGGUGGAAUUCAACAUUGUAUAUAUUGAAGCAGUUUCUUGAGUCAAAGAAUGCCAUCAUCUCUACCCUGGCCAUUGUCAAUGCACCUGUUGAUGCUCUGACCCAAGAGGAAUGGGAGAUGGUGGAGGAGGUGUGCAGAGUCCUGGAACCCUUUGAGCAGGUCACUGUGGAGAUCAGUGGAGAGAGCGAUGUGACAGCCUCAAAAAUGAUACUCCUGUGUAAGGGUCUGCAGAGAGAUGCAAAUGUAACCACAGGACAUGUGACAGAGUAGAUGGACACCCGAUGUUUAUCAACG